UACGUAGGGUGCAAGCGUUGUCCGGAAUUAUUGGGCGUAAAGAGCUCGUAGGCGGCUUGUCACGUCGACUGUGAAAACCCGGGGCUCAACUCCGGGCCUGCAGUCGAUACGGGCUGGCUUGAGUGCGGUAGGGGAGACUGGAAUUCCUGGUGUAGCGGUGAAAUGCGCAGAUAUCAGGAGGAACACCGGUGGAGAAGGCGGGUCUCUGGGACGUAACUGACGCUGAGGAGCGAAAGCGUGGGGAGCGAACAGG
rnacentral:rRNA from 1 species